CAGCCGCCGCGGGAAUACGUAUGGGGCAAGCGUUGUCCGGAAUUAUUGGGCGUAAAGCGCGCGCAGGCGGUUCUUUAAGUCCGGUGUAUAAGUGCGGGGCUCAACCCCGUGAGGCACUGGAAACUGGGGAACUUGAGUGCAGAAGAGGAGAGCGGAAUUCCACGUGUAGCGGUGAAAUGCGUAGAGAUGUGGAGGAACACCAGUGGCGAAGGCGGCUCUCUGGACUGUAACUGACGCUGAGGCGCGAAAGCGUGGGGAGCAAACAGGAUUAGAUACCCCCGUAGUCCCUGUCUCUUAUACA
rnacentral:rRNA from 1 species